rnacentral:tRNA from 1 species
GGCAAGAUGGCCGAGCGGUCUAAGGCGUGUGACUCAAGUUCUCAUCUCGGCAACGGGGCGCGAGUUCAAAUCUCGCUCUUGUCA